CAUCACCAUCAUCAUCAUCAGCACCAACACCAGUGUCAUCAUCUAAACUUCACCGCUAAGUCUUGUAUGCUGAUUACUCACUAACUUAUUGCAUGUGACAAUUUACUGGGACAAUCUAACGUUUAUGAUUCGAUCCAACAUCUGCCUAUUGUAUGUUUUUGGUGGAUUAUCUGUCUAUUAUUUAUUUUAUAAUUCGGAUAGUAAACGGAGAGACGAAAGCUGAAAGAAAAAAUAUGAGGAAGUUUAACCUGUAGCCUAAAAAGAAUCAAUCAAGCGAUUUAUUUAAUAAUAUCACCAUUUGUACGUUUGUUAUUCUACAAAAAUUUGUGUAAAUGUGUCCGAAGAUUUAAAUAACAAUAAUAAUAAACAAUCAAAUGAUUGAAGUUUAUCAUGGAAAUUUGCCAGCGUUUAACUUAUUGUGGCCUCCGUCGUCUUUACCAGUAAAUAAAUUCAAUAAAUAGCUUUUAUAUACUAAGGUCUAAGUUAAUUACUGAGAUUCGAUGACGCGUUAAUAUAUUUUUUGUACCCAAGCUUCCUGAUCUAUUGCGAUAAAAAAGUCAUUAAUAUUUCUCACAAUAUUUUCCAGUGUAAAUUAGUCAUCAUUUAUCGGCUUAAAUAGAAGUAUUAAUAAUAAAAAUAUGACUAAUAUUAACAAUAGAUGAUUUUUUGAAUAAAAAUUUAAAUUAACUGGCUGACUUGUCGGGUAUUUUCGAGAAUUGCAUCAAUGGUGAGUCAAUUUUAGUGACAAACGGGCUUUAGUUUAAUGUAAAUUGUAUAAAAAUCUGCACUUGCAAGCUGAGAUUACGUAAUUUUAUUUAUUAUCUUUGUACCUUUUAUAAAUAAUAUGUUACGUGUCUCGCAUUGGUAACGACAAUUAUUUAAAAAAUAAUAUUUAAUAUUGUUACCAUGAAUUUUUAACUUCUCCUGUCUAUUGUCAACUUUAACAAUCGUCUUUAUCUUUUAUAUUUUACUCAGAAGAUAUUAUUUAUGGAAUUUUCUCCACCGUACCCACAACACAUAUGUACAACACUUGAAUAGAUAUUUUUAAAAGAUAACCAGUGUCAAAUCAUACAUUUAAAUAUAUCUAAACUCGCUCUGUACAUAACACAACACUUAUCAUACUUAUUUAUAUAUAUACAUAUACUUGGAUGUCAUUCAUUAGUACUCUGUCCUUAGUAAUAAAAUUAACAAGCAUGAGGAUGACUCAUUUUACCUCAACUUCCGUAUUAUUUCAUAACAAAAAAAUCCAUAAAAAAGAAAAUUUAAAUAAAGUGGCGGGAAAAAAAAUAAUUGCGACAUUGGCAUGAAAAUUAUUUGAACAAAAUUUUUUUAUUAAUUCUCGGGAUCUUCAAUACUGAGUAUAAGCGGGAAUAUCAAGAGUACACUGACUUCAUUUAUUUCCUAAUUAGCCAAUGAAAAAAUGUACUGCGUAGAAUGAAGGAACAGCAUUGAGUACACAUGAUACUAUACCCGAGUUGUAUUGAGUGAUAUGACGUCUAAAAUACCGCUUUGACAUUCUUACACGUUGGCCAUAAUUCUUUACCCAACAUUUGUACCAAGACCCCGACCGACAGCGGGUAGAUCCAAGAUGUUGAUGCAAGUCGAGGGAAAUGUGAUAAAAAAAAAAGAAAACUUUUAUGGUAGAAAAUGAAUGGAAAAAAUUACUUGGCCUAGUUUUUUUUUUUUAAUUUUAUUGAUGCACUACUGAAAUACUUGAGAGAAAUGAAGCAAAUGUGGUUUUUAAUUAGUUAAUGAAUUACGCUCACGCGUAGUUUGUCAUCAGCGACUCGAGAUCUUAAAUUAUUUUUUAAUUUAUUUAUUAGCGAUCUAGUGUAUGAUCACUGCGACCUGAUAUAUAAUUUUAUUCAAUAGCAACUUGUUCUUUUUUUAUUUAUUCUGAUUCAAUUACUAGUGUCUAAUUAUAAUUAAUGUUUUUUUAUACUUGACUAUAUCUGAUUUUAUAAAAAUUAAAUAACUUGUAAGAAAUUUUAUGUAUUAUCAUAUAUGUUCAUUCCUGACCAUAUCUGAUCUUACACGAGUUGAACAUCAUGGAAAAUUUUUUUAUGUUCCUUCAUAUAUGAUCAUACAUGACCAUAUAUAAUCUUAUAUGGCUUGUAUAUCGGUUAAAAACUUUUUAUUUAUCUUCAAAUAUGUUCAUAUGUGUCCGUAUAUGAUCUUAUAUGGACUGAAUAUCGAGUAAAAAUACUUUAUGUUGUAUCAUAUAUGAUCAUACAUGAUCAUAUAUGAUCUUAU